rnacentral:rRNA from 1 species
AACAACGCUGGCGGCAUGCCUAACACAUGCAAGUCGAACAAAGCCUUCGGGCUUAGUGGCGCACGGGUGCGUAACACGUGGGAAUCUGCCCUUUGGUUCGGAAUAACAGUUAGAAAUGACUGCUAAUACCGGAUAAUGACGUAAGUCCAAAGAUUUAUCGCCGAAGGAUGAGCCCGCGUAGGAUUAGGUAGUUGGUGGGGUAAUGGCCCACCAAGCCGACGAUCCUUAGCUGGUCUGAGAGGAUGAUCAGCCACACUGGGACUGAGACACGGCCCAGACUCCUACGGGAGGCAGCAGUGGGGAAUAUUGGACAAUGGGCGAAAGCCUGAUCCAGCAAUGCCGCGUGAGUGAUGAAGGCCUUAGGGUUGUAAACCUCUUUCGCACAGGACGAAGCGCAAGUGACGGUACUGUGUAAAGAAGCACCGGCCAACUACGUG